rnacentral:rRNA from 1 species
CUGACGUUAGCGGCGGACGGGUGAGUAACACGUGGAUAACCUACCUAUAAGACUGGGAUAACUUCGGGAAACCGGAGCUAAUACCGGAUAAUAUAUUGAACCACAUGGUUCAAUAGUGAAAGACGGUUUUGCUGUCACUUAUAGAUGGAUCCGCGCCGCAUUAGCUAGUUGGUAAGGUAACGGCUUACCAAGGCGACGAUGCGUAGCCGACCUGAGAGGGUGAUCGGCCACACUGGAACUGAGACACGGUCCAGACUCCUACGGGAGGCAGCAGUAGGGAAUCUUCCGCAAUGGGCGAAAGCCUGACGGAGCAACGCCGCGUGAGUGAUGAAGGUCUUCGGAUCGUAAAACUCUGUUAUUAGGGAAGAACAAAUGUGUAAGUAACUAUGCACGUCUUGACGGUACCUAAUCAGAAAGCCACGGCUAACUACGUGCCAGCAGCCGCGGUAAUACGUAGGUGGCAAGCGUUAUCCGGAAUUAUUGGGCGUAAAGCGCGCGUAGGCGGUUUUUUAAGUCUGAUGUGAAAGCCCACGGCUCAACCGUGGAGGGUCAUUGGAAACUGGAAAACUUGAGUGCAGAAGAGGAAAGUGGAAUUCCAUGUGUAGCGGUGAAAUGCGCAGAGAUAUGGAGGAACACCAGUGGCGAAGGCGACUUUCUGGUCUGUAACUGACGCUGAUGUGCGAAAGCGUGGGGGAUCAAACAGGAUUAGAUACCUGGGUAGUCCACGCCGUAAACGAUGAGUGCUAAGUGUUAGGGGGUUUCCGCCCCUUAGUGCUGCAGCUAACGCAUUAAGCACUCCGCCUGGGGAGUACGACCGCAAGGUUG